rnacentral:lncRNA from 1 species
CUAAUUGAGAAUUGUAAUUAAUAACUUGUUUCCUCAUAUGUUGUAUAUGGGAGCCAAGGGGAAGACUGGUGUCUGCUAAAAACUUGGUAGAUUCCAUCCAAUAGUGACAAAACACAAGAUUAUGUGGUGUUUACAGAUUAUAACCCGCCACAUCAAACACCAGCCAACAGAAAAUUAAUUAAUUAGAUCAAUGAUAUUUGUUCCACCGUGGUUGGCUAAUCAAG